rnacentral:rRNA from 1 species
UACGUAGGGGGCAAGCGUUGUCCGGAAUCAUUGGGCGUAAAGAGCGUGUAGGCGGCUUGGUAAGUCCGCUGUGAAAGUCCAGGGCUCAACCCGGAAAUGGCAUUGGAAACUACCUUGCUGGAGGAUUUGAGGGGGGAUUGGAAUACUUGGUGUAGCAGUGAAAUGCGUAGAUAUCAAGUGGAACACCAGUGGCGAAGGCGAAUCCCUGGAAAAUACCUGACACUGAGGCACGAAAGCUAGGGGAGCAAACAGG